rfam:Solanum lycopersicum cultivar Heinz 1706 chromosome 9, whole genome shotgun sequence.
GUGAGCCGCAUGCGGGGAGACCCGCACGUACGGUUUUUAGGGGGAUCUGGAUGCUCGUGUUGAUGAACAAGUUUCCAGUACCACUUGCCCCAU